AGGGAUACUAUUUUCAUUCAAUAUUCGUAAGAAAUAAUAUUUUCUUCCAUACUCUGUAGUAUGUAAGUAAUAUUAUUUCAUUUCAUAUUCCUAAUUCUACACUUAUUUUGAUAAGUAUUGCUUAUAUACUCCUUGAAAUUAGUAGAAUAUCUGUGGCAGCCCCGAAUCCGGGUCCCGAAUCGCCGCGGAUCCGGUUCGCUAUUUCUACAACUAUUUGCGGAAGAUAUAAACAUAAAUUGUUUAUACAUCACAUUACACACUAUUCCCCAAGGUCGAGUAACCUUUACUUAAACACAAAUCAUAAGCUAUCUAACACAUAACAAUACUAUUCUUCAACCAUACUUUUACAAAUUAGCUGUACAUUCUAUCCCAAGCUGAACUUGGCAUUUUCCUUUUCCUGUAACUGGCCGUAUUCGCCUUAUCUGCAAUGUUUUAUCAUGAUAUAGCAAGGGUGAGCAUGAAAGUUGCCCAGCAAGUUUAAAAACAAUGCAAAGAUAUAUCAUGAUGGAAAGAGUUUGAAUAAUAAGCUGACUAUCCUUCACAAUGUAUUUGUGAAUUAGCAUGAACAAAGUUUUGACUGAACAAGUAUUUAACAGGAAUAACAAUAUAUCUGGACCAACUGGUAAUGAAGGUGAUCAGCCUUUCAUACCCGANNN
rnacentral:lncRNA from 1 species